UCUAUUUUGUGAGAAAUUCAAGCAUAAUUAUUUUCCGGUAAAAACUGUUAAUUCAAUAAAGAAUUGAAAUUUGUUUAGUCUUUGUGGUUUGAAGUCGACAUUUCUUCCGUCCUUGUGGUUUUAUUUUAAUCCGAAUAAUCUUUAAAGUCAAGAUUUUUUUAUCUAAAUAAUCUUUCUGUCCAUUUUUUCUGUUAGAAUAUUGACGUGGCUGUUAAAGACAUUGUAAUUUUUAACGGUCACGUCAGCAAUUUAACUGAGAAAAUUGACAUAAUAACCAUUUGGAUGAAAAAUCGUGACUUUAAGGACUAUUCAAAUUAAAAUAAAAUCACAAGUAUUGAAUCGAUGUCGACUUUAAACCACAAGGACUAUACAAUAUUUUACCCUUCAAUAAAAUAAGAGUCCAAACGGUGGAUAUAAUCUAACUUAUGAUUGGUAAGCAAAAUCUUCUACCAAAACCAACCGCCGAAGUUGGUAUACCGACUUAGUUGGUGUCAGGACCCACCCCGAAUUUCACCCUGAAACCCGAGUAAAUCCUGCGGGGACCAUCUCGGUAAGGUAAAAGUUUACCUAAAAUCGGUAUAACCUCCCUUAAAAAUGGACAAGUUUUCUUUAUAAAACACCUGCAAACACUUCUAAAAAUCCAAACUCAACCUUAUACUCCUGGAGCCUUCGUACUCCCCAAAGUCACAACACCUCCCAAUUUAUUUACUAAUCUAAUAAUAAUCCCAUAACCACCCAAAUCAUAGGUUCAGAGCAAUUCUAACAGCGAAGGUAAGAUAAAUAUAAAAAUAAACGGAAGCUGACACGACCCACCCCGAAUUUCACCCUGAAACCCGGAGUAAGUCGUGCGGGGACCACCUCCAAGGAAAAUUUACUGAAAAGAUUGAGAAAAUCUCCCUUGUAGAUGGACAACCCUAACUCGAAAAUUCCAAAUUUCACUCUUAAUUCAACACUUCCAAACAUCACAUAAUAUACAAUAAUCCUAAAGUAUUCAGAGCUACUAAACACAAGCGGAAGCAAGAAAACACGAGUAGGUUGAACAGGUAACCUACUGAUGAAAACUGGCAGAAAUGCGGGUGACUAUGCCUCGCCUCCUACUAGAUCCAACCCGAACUCUGCAGACUGGGCAAUUUAAAACGAAAGGCCCAGGGGAAAACAUUUAAUAACGUUAGAGUGAGUGAACAAAAAUAAAAUAAAGGAAAUAAUUCUUUAUGCUUUCCCAAUUUUUACUUUUCCAUAGAAAAGAAAAUAUGCUGCAUGCGACAGCUCAAAACGCUCAAUAAAAUACAGCCUCUUAGGCUAAAAUAAAAUAUGUAUGUAUUACACUCGUCAUAUCCCUUGUAUGAAUUUUCUUGAAACAACUAAAACAAAUAGUAAAUUCACACAAGGCUACAACGCUUGCGUCUAACGCUCACGUUGCACCAUAAUGGCAUUUUACCUCAUUAUGGUGGAAAAGACGGUGUAUAAAUAUACGCGCAUAUCCCCUAUAUAAAUUAUUAUUUUUAUAUAGGGCUACAACGAUUGCGUCUAACGCUCACGUUGCACCAUAAUGGAAUUUUACUUCAGUAUGGUGGAAAAGCACGUAUAGCUAGCUAGCAUUCUCUCAUAUACAUAUUAUUCUCAUAAUCAUCCACAUAUGGAUAUAUAUAUAUACACUCACCGAAAUUCUCAAUUUCGGUUAUUCUCCAACAACAUAAAUUAUUUCGCACGCACAUUAUUUAAAACAAAAGUCCACUCACUAAUUAGGCCUAAGCCUGAUGUCGAUCUGGGGCCUCGUCAGCUCAAGCCUCCUCACGACCUGUUCCAAAUAUAAUAUUAAGUUCCCAGCCGAAAUUCCAAUAUUUACACAAAAUAGGCAGAAAUUAACCGAGAGCCAUUAACACGCUCAUCAUUGCCUAACUUCGAAAUGGUCCACAUUUCAACCCUAGAACCAGCAGCUGUAACUACACCUUCCCACAGAUUAAACAACUUAAUCCAACGGCCGGAUUCUACAUAAAUUAACCGCCAAAAAUACUAACUUCGGAAAUUCAUAAACCUAUCCAAAACUCAUCCAAAAAUUCCAUAACUCACUUCAAUAAACUCCCCUUAAUAUUCCAAAUUUAACAACAUUAAAAUCUCCCAACCGGCGGCGGCCGGAGGCCAAUUCCGGCGACCUCCAAUUCCUAUAAAAUUUUAACAGCCUCUUCCUCUCAUCAUACUCUACAAUUUUCAUAACUAGCACAAACACCAAUUCCAAGCCUAACUAGGGCAAUCGACUAAAAACAUCAAAAACACCAUAAAACUUCCACCUCAAAUUUCUCCUUACCUAGCUCAAGAGGGAGUGAGUCCUUUUAGUGCAAGGCUGCUAGGUUGGAGGGCUACAAAUCCGUACCAAGCUUGCCCGGAUUGGUGGCCGGAGGAGGGAGUUCCGGCGAAAUGCUUCCCGGCGUUUCCGGCGGGUUUUCUCCUCUUCCGGCGGGUUAGAGGCUCGGGGGCUAGGCCGGGGAGGGAGAGGAGGAGAUGGGGGUCCGAACUGGGGUGGAGCGGCGGGCGAGCUGGUGGCCGGACGGCGGGCAGGAG
rnacentral:lncRNA from 1 species